rnacentral:rRNA from 1 species
CUAAAACGACUCUCGGCAACGGAUAUCUCGGCUCUCGCAUCGAUGAAGAACGUAGCGAAAUGCGAUACUUGGUGUGAAUUGCAGAAUCCCGUGAACCAUCGAGUCUUUGAACGCAAGUUGCGCCCCAAGCCUUCUGGCCGAGGGCACGUCUGCCUGGGUGUCACAA